ensembl:lncRNA novel transcript
ACAUCAGUAAAAGAUACCAUCUGCAAGGCUACUUUAUUCCCCAACCUUCCAAAGAAUGAGAACAGUCUGAGUAAACUAGGGCAUGAUCAAAGAUACAUGUCUUCAAUGUAAACCAAACAAAACGUAGGUGAUUCCCUGUAAGAAGACAUGGCAUCAGGGAAAUUUCAGAUGGCAUACAAGACCUUAGUGAGGAUAUCCUGAGAAAUGUGAAGAAAGGGGUUGCUGAUUCACAAAGCGUACAGUACAGAUGGGCAGAGAAUACUAGGUACAGCCUCUGAUAAAAACCAGCAAGACAACCAAAUUUUCAACCAUUUGAGCAGCCAUCUGGGCUGGCAAGAGGGUGUACAGGUCCAUGGAAAACAUCCUGAGAAAUGAAGACAUGGAAGACCCAGAAAGGUAGUGACUUUCCCAAGGUCACAAAGUUAAAAGCAAUGAGACCUGGGGACACUCUUGUUGCAUCACACCAUUCUGUCAAAAAAACUGGUGUUUACUCUGUAAACAAUGUAAUAAAAAUGAAA